CAACUUUCUGCAAUGGAUCUCUUGGCUCUCGCAUCGAUGAAGAACGCAGCGAAAAGCGAUAUGUAAUGUGAAUUGCAGAUCUACAGUGAAUCAUCGAAUCUUUGAACGCACCUUGCGCUCCUCGGUGUUCCGAGGAGCAUGCCUGUUUGAGUGUCAGUAAAU
rnacentral:rRNA from 1 species